UUUCUCAGAGCCUGAUGAGGAGAGGCAAAUAUACUUGCAUGGGAGUCCAGACGGCAGCAUUAACAUUUGGCCUUGUAUUUGUAUCCAUUCCUUGCAGUCAUUACGAGAGACAACCGGCAGAAUUGUGUCCAGAGCCUUGUCUUCCACCUACACCUUACCAGAACCCAACGCAGAAAGGUACCGGUGCAGAACCGGUUACAUUGGUGCCGUGACCCAGAUCAACGUGGAUCAUUAUGAAUCGCCAUUGAUCAACACCAGCUUGGUCACCGGGAGUUGCUAUGCUAUAAAUAGGACAAAUCUAGCCCGUUCCCCUCUACCCUCCCGUAAUCCCCAGGUCAAACAUCUCCUGGUACCGCUUACUGCUGGUUCUGGUCGACUGCAGGAAAAUACUGGGACAGAGUGGAACUGAGAGAGGAGAAGAAGAUAAGGAAGAUGGAGAUUUGAUUUCAUUUAGAACCAUGGUGUGUAGAUUAGACUACAGUCUGCUUCUGAAACGAUAGCGGAGGUGCAUAAAGAUGGCGGCCUGCAUUACUUACCACAAAUUACUCCUUUUGCUGAGUUCGCUGUAACCUACAUUGCUCUCCUGUGUCUACGCGUCAUCAGGGAUGUGUUCGUUCCGCCAAUUCUGUUAAAAUGUUUCUUGAACAGAAGCAAACGAAAAUAAAUUGGGAUGAACAUACCUGAAAUUGUUGGCAAAUGUUGGACUAAGUAUUACACCCUAUAGAUAAUUAGCAGGCAGCGCGUGUUAACUGUCCUGUUGCGUAAUAAUCACAUUUUGGAACAGUGAGUGCAUUCUGACAUCACCUGCAUAAAACUCACACUGGUGGCGACCGUUUGAUAUAUUUUAAAUGUUUCAUUCCACUCAUUUUUAAAAGUGGUCCAAAAAUAUUUUUCACCUAAUUUGAACAUUCUGUCAACUUAAGAAAACAUGUUUUUUAUUAAGACAUUGAAUUAAAAUAUUCCUAUACUAUGUGCCAAAUAAAGUAACAGGGUUGACAGUAACAGGGGACUACUAAAAACAACAAAACAAAGGUUACGUAUGUUACCAUGGUUAUGUACGCUAUAUGGAUAUGUCCAAUAUAUUGGUAUCACUCCGCGGCGGAGGGAUACAUCAAAGGUGAGGACUUACAGAUUCACUCCCGUGUACACCUGUGUCAUGACUGGGGUCCGCCCCAAUAUAUAGAACCCAUGGCUGCGACACACGUUCUCUACAUAAUUUUUGAGGAGCCUCUAGCACCGUAGAGGAAUGGCGUGAUCCAUAUAGCUCCCAUGACCGCGGUUACAUACGUUACCUUCAUUAUGUUUCACUAUAUUGGAUCACUCCAAUAUACUGGUAUACCCGUACCAGAUUUAGUCGGUGCUAGAGGGACCCUGCCAGCCAAUGGUGAAGUCCCAGCGCGGGAACGAGACACAGGGGCCGUCAAUGUGGAAGGUGGGUUCCGGCACAGUCCCCGGAAGGGGAGGCGAUGCCCAGGACCACUGAACCAACUGCAGAGAGAGGUGCCACAUUUACCCGAUAUUACCUAGCAAAGGUGCAAGAGGAAGCCCAGCUGGCUGCAGCAACGAUAUCAGCGAGCGGCCCUCCUCUCAGUAGAGCCCAGGAUGCAGUCACACCUCUUAUUGAAUGUGCCACCACAGAUCCCAGCACUGGCCUGCCAGCCAGGCGGUAUGCUGUUGUAAUCUUGUCCACGAUCCAGUGAGAGAGCCUCUGCUUUGAUAACCCAGUCCCCUAGGACUCUCACCAUAGCAGAAAAAGAGCUAGUCUGUUGUUCUCACUGCCCGUGUCCACUCCACAUAGGCAGCCAGAGCCCGUGCAGGGCACAGCAUGCCGGAGGGAGGACCAGGCUCUUCCGCCACUCCCGGGGGGUCGUAAGCAGACAGGAUAAAAGGGAUGUCCAUCCGGUAGCACUCAGAACAUACUGAAAGAGCAUGGAGCUCACCCACCCUCUUCAUGGAAGUUAUUGCUACCACGAAAGCCACCUUCGUAGAGAUGUGUUUCAGGGAGGCAGACUCCAAUGGUUCGAAAGACGACUUGCCAAAGCUGCCAAGACCACAUCCAGAUCCCAGCUCGCCAUUGAGUGCGUCCUAGCUGGACGCAGGCGACGAACCCCCUUCAUAAACCAGGAGACCAAGGGAUGGCGCCCCACUGGCCUGUCUAUCCACCACACAUGGCAGGCAGAUAUAGUGGCCAAAUACCCUCAGUGUAGAGGCUGCUAAGCCCUCAUCCAAGCGAGGCUGCAGGCAUUGGAGGACAUACUGCACCCCGCGUGAUCUCAGUAGCAUAGUCGCGUUGGUAAGGCAGUCAAGAGAGCAGAGGUACUCAUAUGUGGCUUUCAAGUCUGCAUCAAAGAUCCUGGGGGGUCCCGGCUUCAGUCGCGGGUUCCGCUCUAUAAUCUCCUGGUCCGGGAGGACCAUGGCAGCUAUCAUGGUGUGGUACUCCCAGAGGCAGAGGGACAGUACGCCCGCAACAACUCCAUGGUCCAGUCUCUGCUGUGAGUCAGAGAGCCCCCUGGAGAGACCCAGCUCUCCUGCAAGGCCUCGAGGAACUCAGCAGAGAUGGGGACAGAUGGAAAGUCAUCACUGGCCACCAGUAGAGAUGGGGACAGAUGGAAAGUCAUCACUGGCCACCAGUAGAGAUGGAGACAGA